UUCGCCGACGCCGGCGGUAGCCCGGGGAAGAGCUUUCUUCUCUUUUUUAGGCUGCUGGAGGCCCCCAAGUUCGUUCACUUUGAGUGGGGGUCGUUGGCCGUAACAGCCAUACGUGAGAUUGUGAUCUGUUGGGAGCAAUCCUCGCUGUUGCGAUCGCCACCGGUUCGCCGUAGAGCACCGCGCAAAUAAGCGCUUGGUGUCCCGUGCGCUACCGCCGGCCCUUGAAAAGGUGGA
rnacentral:ncRNA from 1 species